UGCUGGAGGUAUCAGAAGUGCGAAUGCUGGCAUGAGUAACGACAAACACUGUGAAAGACAGUGUCGCCGAAAGUCCAAGGGUUCCUGCGUAAAGUUAAUCUGCGCAGGGUUAGCCGGCCCCUAAGGCGAGGGCGAAAGCCGUAGUCGAUGGGAACCACGUUAAUAUUCGUGGGCCAGUGGGUGUGUGACGGAUGCAGCAAGUUGUUGAGGCUUAUCGGAUUGCCGAGGCAGCGAAUGUGUCCCUGGAAAUAGCCCCCACGUAGACCGUACCCGAAACCGACACAGGUGGACUGGUAGAGAAUACCAAGGAGCUUGAGCGAAGUGUGCUGAAGGAACUCGGCAAAUUACCUGCGUAACUUCGGGAGAAGCAGGCUAUCUCUUCGGGCAACCGGAGGGGUAGGGCACAAACUAGGGGGUGGCGACUGUUUACCUAAAACACAGGGCUAUGCUAAGUCCAACGACGACGUAUAUGGCCUGACGCCUGCCCGGUGCUGGAAGGUUAAGAGGAGAGGUUCACGCCUUGAAUCGAAGCCCCAGUAAACGGCGGCCGUAACUAUAACGGUCCUAAGGUAGCGAAAUUCCUUGUCGGGUAAGUUCCGACCUGCACGAAUGGAGUAAUGAUGGCCACACUGUCUCCUCCAGAGACUCAGCGAAGUUGAAAUGUUUGUGAUGAUGCAAUCUCCCCGCGGAAAGACGGAAAGACCCCAUGAACCUUUACUGUAGCUUUACAUUGGACUUUGAACAGAUCUGUGUAGGAUAGGUGGGAGGCUUUGAAGUAAGGUCGCUAGAUCUUAUGGAGCCGACGUUGAAAUACCACCCUGGUGUGUUUGAGGUUCUAACCUUGGCCCGUUAUCCGGGUUGGGGACAGUGUAUGGUGGGCAGUUUGACUGGGGCGGUCUCCUCCCAAAGUGUAACGGAGGAGUUCGAAGGUACGCUAGUUACGGUCGGAAAUCGUGACGAUAGUGCAUUGGCAUAAGCGUGCUUGACUGCGAGACUGACAAGUCGAGCAGGUACGAAAGUAGGACAAAGUGAUCCGGUGGUUCUGUAUGGAAGGGCCAUCGCUCAACGGAUAAAAGGUACUCCGGGGAUAACAGGCUGAUACCGCCCAAGAGUUCAUAUCGACGGCGGUGUUUGGCACCUCGAUGUCGGCUCAUCUCAUCCUGGGGCUGUAGCCGGUCCCAAGGGUAUGGCUGUUCGCCAUUUAAAGAGGUACGUGAGCUGGGUUUAAAACGUCGUGAGACAGUUUGGUCCCUAUCUUCCGUGGGCGCUGCAAGAUUGAGAGAGCCUGCUCCUAGUACGAGAGGACCGGAGUGGACGCACCUCUGGUGUAUCGGUUGUCACGCCAGUGGCAUUGCCGAGUAGCUAAGUGCGGAAGAGAUAACCGCUGAAAGCAUCUAAGCGGGAAACUCGUCUCAAGAUGAGUCUUGCCGGGGCCUUGAGCCCCCUGAAGGGUCGUUCGAGACCAGGACGUUGAUAGGCUGGGUGUGGAAGCGCAGUAAUGCGUUAA
rnacentral:rRNA from 1 species